CUGCCCAGCAAAGUGCACGGAGCAGACCCCACCCCAUGCCAGCCUUCCCAAUGAAAGACACCGCUCACAACGCUGGAGGCACAGCUCCAACUUCCAGCACCCUGCACAAUGAAAUCAAUGAGCUGUGUGUGCGGUUCAUGCGGCUCUGCGUUAACACCAAGCAGGUUGUGCUGCAAAAACAGGUUGAGUGCCAGAAACCAUCAGGCAAACGCAAAUGUAAAACAAAGCAUCUGGAUGUGCAAGGAAGAAAGAGAUCAUUCCUUGCAAUAGACGACCCUUUUGACACAGAAGACACUCAAGAUAUGGUCGCACUGCCAAAAAAAGUGAUGAAGGAAGCAGAAGCAGAGCCUGCUCGGCACCGUGGCUCCUUGCCCACCAAAUCCUAACAGCGGAACCGGCACAAGCAGCUGCAGGAGCCCCCCUCGCUGCCGACCAUCCAGCCUGCCGUGCUGCAGGUGGACAGCCCUGCCAGAACAUGCCACAUGAGGCCCACUCCAUUCGACAACAAUGCGGGACCUCAGGCUUCUCACAGCCAACUGCUCUCUGAUAUUACGGACCUUCAAGUGUUUAACCCUGACAGACUUUGCAAGGCUCCUCAUUUCACUAUUAGCAAGGACCCUCCCUUUGACAGACUUUCCAGGAUCUGCUGCAUUCCUUUUAAUCCUUUUAGAUAUUGAUGUUAAUAGUUUUAUGUUGUUUCUUUAUUGUAAUGUUUGUUCUAGAGUUACUUCUUUAGCUAUGUUUUCCAAUGCCAUUGUUUCUGCAAAUAAAAGACACUGUUAUGUAUAAAAACGUCUUUCCUUCAGAUAAGAAAGCUGAAUUCUGGUUGGAUGGAUUCUCUCUUUCCAGGCCGUUUCUACAAAAUUGUGCUGUUUCAUUAAAUGCACACACGAUCCAGUCUAAGUCUGUUAUUACUUGCAAUUUCUUUCCUGCUUUAGGGAACGCAUCCGCACACGGGCUUUGUUUCAUGCAAAGCACGGGUUACACAGAACGUACUUCUUGUGGGUGAUGGAAACAAAGUCACGUGGUUUGUUUGGCAGGGAGAUAGCAUUCGGUGAGGUACUCUGUUAUCUUACUGUUGUUGUUCUCAAUACAAUAAUUAAAAAUAAGAUUGCUGGAUCAGAUGAUUUCAGUGAUCUUUGCCUACCUUAAUAAUUCCAUGAUUCUUAAGGAUUGUACGACCAGCAAGAAGUGGCCGGAGAAACCUCUCCAAUGUGGGAGAUGAUGCUUCUGGGAAAUGCACACCUGCAGGUUCAGGGUUCUGGCAGACAAGGGGAGCCUGACUAGCACUGAAGACUGAGGCGACAACACACAGACUGAGCAUCUCAGCUUCUUCCAUGUCCGAGGAAGCCAGUUCUCCAUCCUCAUUUGUCAGAGGGGGAACGCUCUCUUUGGCCUGCCUCGUCCUGCCCACGUCUUCUUGUUCUUUUUCUUUUUCACCUCCCUUGCCAAGUUCAGCUCCAUCUGGGCUUCCAAUCCUAACCUCUCUAAUGCUCUCCUCUGCUGCUCAGCAGCAACUAGUAAAGCCAAAUCCUGCUGGUAGUCAUUCAUGAAUUCAUGCACAAAUAUCAAUAUCUCAGUGACUUUAGCUGUGAGAAUUUUAUUUUACAGAUACAGCUAAAUAAAAUUCAUCUAGGCAAGACAAAGUACAUAGCAGUAACUAUAAGCCUUGAUACAUAUCAUUUUUAAAACGAGCCCAAAAGCAAUAUAGUAGGUUACAAUAUCAAAGAACAGAAUCCUAAAUUCAGUCUCAUGGUUGCCCUAGCUAAAGCCUGCAUACACUGACAGAAUCAGAAGUCCUUACAUCUUGAUAGCAAACCGUUAUUUUCCUUGUUUUUCUUCACAAGCAGAAUGGCCUCAAGGCCAUCUCUGCAUUCACACAAGGAGCAUUGCAGAUCCACAUGGGUGUGGGAUGAAAGACUGGACUGGGUCAGUGGAGAGGCAGAGAAGUUCUCUGCUGAGAAAGGCAGGUGUGACCUGCAUUACCAGUUGUGAUGGGGCUCCAACGGUGCGGUACCAGGCUUAGGGACAGUGAGUUUUCUCAAGCCCCAUCUGAGCCAGGCUCACUGCUUUACAACCCACUGCUGGUGAUCGUACAACCUGAGAAAAAGACAGCUUUGCUGCUCAGACAGUUGUCAGACUGAAGCAAGUUGAAGUUUGCUUUGUUUAAAGGGCACCCUGAAUUCACCCAGAAGGGAACUGAAGUUGCUGAAUCUCAACUGGAUCUUGAGAGUCAAGCAUGCACUGGUAUUGAUUUUAGUAAAAAAGACUUGCAUGUUCACUGGCUACACUCUCUGGCCCACCUUUUAAUGUGUCUUCAUUUACACUGAAUAAUACAAAGCAGGUAUCUAAGCACUGUUGCCAAUCCUUUUUCACUGAAUCAUCAAACCAGUGGUUUGUAAAUGAACUCUGAUGGUGUGGGACGCAAAAGAAAGCUUGAGGCAUGGCCAAAAGUCCAAAUUCUCUCAGGAAGAGCAAAAGGACAAAAGAUCUUUCCUGAGAAAGACUACCUGACAAGAACUGAACUUCCAUCAAGUGGGUUCUCACACAUCAUUAACAAACUGCAAUCACAGCCAAAAGCUAAUAAGUGACCUCUUCUGUACAAAAUGCCUACGUGAGAUGCCUUGACGUGGUGCACAAGAAGGUAUUUAAGCUGUCUAUCUAAGCCAGUUUACUGAACUUAUAAUGCUGUUAAGAGCUCAGGUACCUCAGUUCCCUUUUAGAAACAACACAGCUGGUGAUAUCAGUGAAUAGAUACCCCAGGAUCACUCCAGGCAGUAUACCAACACCCACAUUAUCAUUUAGGUCCCCUCUUCUGUAAUGAUCACAGCCUUUUUCGAACUUUCAGCACCGUUCCACUUAUCCUCAGAAAGAGAUCUCGUUCGAUGCAAGUGCAAUUUCUCUGAUUCAUGCAGAAGAUGUGCAGCAGCACUACAAAGGGCUGCUCAUAGAGAAAGAAUCCAAGCCUUCGUCAUAUUGCGCCAGAUGUUAAUCAGCUGAAAUAGCUCACUGGUCAGCCACAAACCAGGCUCCUGGGCACUCUGUUGCUUUGCUGUUCUAUUACCCAAAAUUUUGUUUACUUUUCUUUAUGUGGGGAAUGUGAAAGAAAAUUAAAACUUCUCCCGAUCAAAAAGAUAUUUUCACCUAAGACAUGUAGUUCCUUUUUAAUUGGUUGGACGUCAGAGGCGAGAUGGGGACAGAGGCAGGGAGAGGCAUUCCUAUGUGUGCUCAUUUAUAGACUGAAUUUUAUACAAUAGUAGAAGGAAAUAAGAAAGGGCUUCUGGUUCCGCUGGUGGUAGCAUUACCUGGAA